GCCUCUCUUUGCCAACUACUCUGCUCUUCUGAUAAAUUCCUCUCUUUCGCUUUCAUUAACCUUCAAUAUUCCACUAGUAGUGUUUCAAAUAUUCCACUAAUUGGACUUGAAGCACAUCUUUUAUUCUUUUCAUUGCUUGACGUGAUUGUUACGAUCACGAAGACGAUAAAUCCCAACUACAAAUACAUAAGAGUCAGAACUGCUAAGGGCAUUCCAUUCUCUCAUUGUGGUACCAUUAAUGGCUCGCUACAACAUAUUAGUUUCCCUUACUUUAAUUCUUCUACUAGUAUCUUAUGCUCCUAGCUUUGAAGCAAGAAUAAAGCUAAUGAAGAAUAUGGAGGAGAAAAAUAUUGAUCCUUCUCAAGAUGCCAGUGUACUAUUGAGUUCCCUUCCUAAAGGUCGCUCGGUCCCUCCUUCUUCUUCCCCAAGUGAUGAAGGCCAUGUGGAGCUUGAUCACAAUAUGAAGUCAGUUCCUAGCCCUGGUAUUGGCAAUUGAUGACAGAGGUGGAUUCAAGAUUUUAAUACAAUGGGGGCACUGAAAAAAUAUGAGUUAUUUCUUCAACCAGUGACCCUCUAAAGGCUAUUAGUGUUUGGGUGCCAAGUUAAUUAUAUAAUCAUUUUCAAGGUAUAUACACAUACAUAUACAAGAUUUUUGCUGAAGUUACGAGGUCAAGUGACCCCUCAAUGUAGAAAGUAGGUCCGGCUCUGAUUGAUGAAUUGAGUAAGCUUUGAAAUUGGUCACUUCUUUGAAAUAUGUACAAAUACACCAAAAAUCUUUGAAAUGUGUAGACAAAUAUAUAGUAAGAUUUCAUCCUGAUCAUUCCGAGUCCACUAACUCUAAAUCUUGGAUUCACUUCCCCAUCUGACAAAUUUGUAAGCCUCUCUUUUGUGAAUACAAAGUAAUUAUGUGAAGGUUACUAUAAAUGUACGUUACUAACUACUGUAUUAAUUUAGUCGUAGGUCUCUACUCUCAUGUAGUACCGUAACCUGCCAUGAUCCCCACAUUGUUGUGUUUAAUUAAAAGUAAUAUAUGUGCUAAGAUUUCACAAAUGCAUCAUUUUAGUGUUUGGUUGAAACUACAGGGAUGAUUUUCUUGAGUUGCAUGUGUCAUUUUCAUUUGAAAGGGACCAAAUCUAAUUUCCUGCAAUCACGUAUGAUGGAACUAAUGAAAAUUACGCAUGCCAAACCUUACAAAAGUAUGCCAAUCAAUUAACGAAGUUCACAACAAACUUUGAAAGAAAAUCCACUUGUUCAUUUUGUACGAGAUUGAGAAUUUGAGUCCGGAACUAAAAUGAGGUACAACGAGGACAAAUAGAUGAAAACCGAGCAAUUUUUGGUAAAUUUUGGAUGAAUUUGAACUUGAAUGAGACGACAAGAGGAUCCCGCGACAUUUAGAGAAAAAUCUAGCAACUGAAGCCAGUCGCGCGUUCAACCCGCGUCACGCGCUUAGCGCGCAACUGAAGCCUCUCUGACCAAAUCUCUGAUGCAGACAAAAUAUACUCCCGCGAUGGGCUCGCGUGACGCGGCCAUCGCGAGAGCUCGUCCAGUUUUUCCGAUUUGAUCAGGAUUUGGCCAGCUUAUUUUAGCUUUUAACCUAGGCUAUAAAUAGACAUUUUUUAUGUUAUACACGACGUGCUGGGAUUAUUCUUAAGACUUGUAAGCCAUCAUUCUUAUUCUCUCUUAAGUUUUACUUUAUUUUCUUCAUUCAACCCUGGAUUAUUCAUGAAUUCUAGUUCUUCUUCUCGAA